rnacentral:rRNA from 1 species
GACGAACGCUGGCGGCGUGCUUAACACAUGCAAGUCGAACAGUGGCGAACGGGUGAGUAACACGUGAGUAACCUGCCCUCACCUUUGGGAUAACUCCGAGAAAUCGGGGCUAAUACUGGAUAGUGGGGGAUGGGCUCGGGGCCUAUCAGUUUGUUGGUGAGGUAGUGGGCACAAAGGAGUGACGGGUAGCCGGCCUGAGAGGGCGACCGGCCACACUGGGACCGAGCAACGGCCCAGACUCCUACGUGAGGCAGCAGUGGGGAAUAUUGCACAAUGGGCGAAAGCCUGAUGCAGCGACGCCGCGUGUGUGAAGAAGGUCUUCGGAUUGUAAAGCACUUUAAGUUGGGAGGAGUUAAUACCUUGCUGUUUUGACGUUACCAACAGAAUAAGCACCGGCUAACUUCGUGCCAGCAGCCGCGGUAAUUC